rnacentral:rRNA from 1 species
AACGAACGCUGGCGGCAUGCCUAACACAUGCAAGUCGAACGAGACCUUCGGGUCUAGUGGCGCACGGGUGCGUAACGCGUGGGAACCCGCCCUUAGGUUCGGAAUAACUCCCCGAAAGGGGUGCUAAUACCGGAUAAUGUCUUCGGACCAAAGAUUUAUCGCCUUUGGAUGGGCCCGCGUUGGAUUAGCUAGUUGGUAGGGUAAAAGCCUACCAAGGCGACGAUCCAUAGCUGGUCUGAGAGGAUGAGCAGCCACACUGGGACUGAGACACGGCCCAGACUCCUACGGGAGGCAGCAGUGGGGAAUAUUGGACAAUGGGCGAAAGCCUGAUCCAGCAAUGCCGCGUGAGUGAUGAAGGCCUUAGGGUUGUAAAGCUCUUUUACCCGGGAUGAUAAUGACAGUACCGGGAGAAUAAGCUCCGGCUAACUCCGUG